AGCUUCUCCUAAUGUGAUUUCCAUAAAAGUACCACCCAUGGCGGAAUCUAAAAGAUUUCUAGAAGGCAAAUUCAAUCCCGCAUAAACAUUUGUAUAAUCAUCCAUAAACACAAACCAUGCGCGGGGCAAUUUGUAUAAUCAUCCAUAAACACAAACUAUGAUCAAGUUGUUUAAAAUUCAUUAUAUCGUUCCUAAGGGAGAUAACCUUAGCGGGCGGAAAGUACUUGGAAAUAAAGGCAUCUUUACACUUAUUCCAUGAAUCAAUACUAUUUUUAGGUAAAGAUGAAAACCAAGUUUUGGCACGAUCUCGUAGUGAGAAAGGAAGUAGCUUUAAUUUAACAAUUUCAUUAUCCACAUCUUUCUUCUUUUGCAUAUCACACAACUCAA
rnacentral:lncRNA from 1 species